AUAAUCACCUGCAGUAACAACAGUGAUGGCUUUGUCUUUCCUGGCCAGCUUUACACAUGUGCGUGUGCACAGCACGGUGCUCUGCUGCAUAGGAAUCAGGCACAUCCACCUGUGAGUUCACCAUUGAUCGCUUUGCUGUCUAGGUGCAUGAAAUGAACAGGUGGCUGGUGGCUCAGGAGAUGCUCCUUUCUAUGAAGGACUGGUCUCAACCAGUGACAAAGUACCCCACAAGGCCAGUUUGAAAACUACUGCUGCCUGCCUGAUAUGGGCAUAAAUGGGAUGAAGAUUUUGCAGACAAGCAAACAACCACAGAAAGUUGUGUAUCGUAUAUAAUGCUGCCUCUGUAAAUGGAAAAUUCAACUCAGAGGAGCAUGAAAAAGGAAUAUCCAUGGCACCUAAAGCAAAGUGAAUCUGCUUGACUAUUUAGUCCACCAGGAGCAACUCACAAAGAGACUGCAGGUUGGACAUUUGGCCUUGCUUGGUCUGACCCUUUUGCAGCAGAAGCAGAUUAUCAGCCAGACAAGUAUUUCAAGCAGCCAUUUCUGACAGACAUGAACUACUGAGGGAAAAUCAGCAGAAACAGAGACAACCCUCACAAACCUGCGUGACUCUCCAAAGAAAGCUGGAGGAAAACGGCUCCUAGUCUAGCUUAAGCAAUAGGUGAGGGAUGUGCAAUGCCAGGAUGGACUCAGACGGAUGGACUCUCAUGUUCACAGUAUCACAGUAUCACAGUAUGUUUGGGAUUGGAAGGGACCUCAAAAGAUCAUCUAGUCCAAUCCCCCUGCUGGAGCAGGAACACCUAAGUGAGGUCACACAGGAACAUGUCCAGGUGGGUUUUGAAUGUCUCCAGAGAAGGAGACUCCACAACCUCCCUGGGCAGCCUGUUCCACUGUUCUGUCACCCUCACUGAGAAGAAGUUUUUUCUCAAAUUUAAGUGGAACCUCUUGUGUUCCAGCUUGAUCCCAUUACCCCUUGUCCUAUCAUUGUUUGCCACCGAGAAGAGCCUGGCUCCAUCCUCAUGGCACUCACCCUUUAUAUAUUUAUAAACAUUAAUGAGGUCCCCCCUUAGUCUCCUCUUCUCCAAACUAAAGAGACCCAGCUCCCUCAGCCUUUCUUCAUAAGGGAGGUGCUCCACUCCCUUAAUCAUCUUCGUUGCCCUACGCUGGACCCUCUCCAGCAGUUCCCUGUCCUUCUUGAACUGAGGGGCCCAGAACUGGACACAAUAUUCCAGAUGUAGUCUCACCAGGGUGGAGCAGAGGGGAAGGAGGACCUCUCUCAAUCUACUAACCACCCCCCUUCUAAUACACCCCAGGAUGCCAUUGGCCUUCCUGGCCACAAGGGCACAGUGCUGGCUCAUGGUCAUCCUGUUGUCCACCAGGACCCCCAGGUCCCUUUCCCCUACACUGCUUUCUAAUAUGUAAUUUCCCAACCUAUACUGGAACCUGGGGUUGUUCCUGCCCAGAUGCAGGACUCUACACUUUCCCUUGUUAAAUUUCAUUAGGUUAUUCCCCGCCCAACUCUCCAGCCUGUCCAGGUCUCUGGAUGGCAGCACAGCCUUCUGGCGUGUCAGCCACUCCUCCCAGCUUAGUGUCAUCAGCAAACUUGCUGAUAGUACACUCAAUUCCCUUGUCCAAAUCGUUAAUGAAUAUAUUGAAUAUUGGCCCCAGUACUGACCCCUGAGGCACUCCACUAGAUACUGGCCUCCAACUAGACUCUGCACCAUUGACUACCACUCUCUGGCUUCUCUCCUUAAGCCAGUUUGCAACCCACCUCACUACUCUGUUGUCUAGACCACACCUCCUCAACUUAGCUGUGAGGAUGCUGUGGGAGACUGUGUCAAAGGCUUUACUGAAGUCAAGGUAGACCACAUCCACCGCUCUGCCAUCAUGUUACAAGUGAGGCGGGUCUUGUACAGAGCCAGAAUUAACAGGUUGAGAUGGAAGCAGUUGUGAUGGAAGAGGAGUGAGGUACUGGACCCAUGGAGAUGGGAAAUACUGCCAGUUUUGCCAAAUGGGCUCAGCUACAAAGAGCUUAGAGUCUUUUCUGGACUAACAGGGAUCUGUAGGCCUGCACAGAGGAGUUACUGCAGUCACUGUCUCAAGGGAUGGUGGAAACAUGAGAUAAAAUGCUAACACAUAAGCAUUUGAAGAGCUAGGCUAUGUUUGGUUUUCCACACAGAAACCACUGCCAGAAUUCAGAAAACAGAAAACCCAUGAAUAAACACAGGAAUGACAAACUGUCUCUAUCCUCAUCAAUUCUGCAUCAGCUGCAGCCCAAAGGACAACAACUGACUCCUAGCAGUGGCCCUAGAAAUUUAAAAAGAAAACAAAAAAAAAAAAAAAACCAAACCCCAAAUCAUAAUGCUUCCUAAGUACAAAGGCUGAUGUCUGCAUUAGAAGUUACCCCAGAGCUAUGCAGAAUUUAGCUUCCCUUCUUUAGGUGAUGCUGUACGAAGAACAACCUCCCUCUCCCUGGGAUAGUGCGAUGCUGGGCCAAGGAACAGCAUCCAAAUUACCCUGGUUCAAACAGUGACAGAUCUCAUAGUGGUAUGUCCCCCAGUAAUACCACUUUCAUCCUCAAAAUCUGUUAUUGCAGAUCUUUCAUAGAGAUUGACUAUUUCUACAGAGUACCUCCCCUACAACUGCAAGAAUCUCUGGAUUAAUUUGAAUACAGUUGUACCAGUCUAAAUAAUGAUAGCAGUUGUCACUGAACCACUGCUCAGAAAACAACAUUCUGCCUCUAUGACCAUUAUUUAUAGUCAGAGGACAUGAACAUACUCAUUUCAUAAUAACCCCACUAAAAGCUGUCUCCUCCCCCUGUUACUUUAUUUAAAUAUAUCAAACAUAUACUGUACCUACCACAAUCUAAUAAUAAAUUAAAUAAUUGAGAAAGAACAAAACAUAUAGGAGCAAAAAUCUAGGAUUAAUCUAGGAAACAGAUAACAUUCAUCCAAAAAUAUGGAAAAGCAUAUACUUACCUGCAGUUCCUAAGCUAAGUAGCACAGCAACCCAAAAUACCCAGAACACAAUGAGAAUCAGAAAGGUCCAGAGUGGCUGGAACAAGAGGAAAGGAAUUCUGCCAAUGAUUUUACCAACAAUUCGAAAGAGCUGUAUGGUGAACUGAAGCCUCUUUCUUAGUACAACUAUAAGGGAAAUCAGAAUAACCUGUUACAAGAAAUAAAAAGACAAAUUGUUUGGUGGGUUUUUUUUUUCCUCCUUAAGAAAAGUAGCAGUGUUGUCAAAUGUGGGAUCAGGGGGUAGAGAUUUCACAAAGACAUGACAGCAGGGCAAUUUACACAAACUUACUGUGCACUGGAAAGGCUUUCUGAGACAUCAAAGGUCUCAUGAAAUACAAAUUGUCUGUGCACUCAUAUUGAGCAAUGACUUCUUUAACAUUGCAACAUCAAGUGAAAAAAAUCACUCUAAAAGUUGCAAGCCACAGUCAGAUUUUCAUUUGGAAAACAAGUUCAAUGAGAAAAAAGCAGAAUUUAACCAAAUAACGUAAGGCCUAGACACUGCUCCCUGUGCUUCACUACCCUGCUCAUUGUCUGCAAGAGCUACCACUCCUUUCUCCUACUGACAUGGUAGGCUGAAUCCACAGACCUCACAUUCAUACUGAGCCAGUGCCCGUAUGUUCACUCAACAUGAUUCUCCAGUUAGCUGAUGCAGAGAAGAAUAGGGAUGGAACACAAUUGUUGCAUUUCUACGCCACCAACGCUAACAGUGUUUGGACAGGGUUGAAGUGUGUCAGAGCCCUGUGCUAACAAACAAAUUUCACAAUGAAGAUAUAAAGCUAUUUAAAUGAGUGUAAGCAGAUCUUAUAAUUGAUUCUCAUUUUCAAACCUGAAAGGAAUGAGGAAUUACUUUUACUGUUGCAGAACCACAGUAGUUCAAGUUUCAAGUUACAGCCUCUGCCACUGCCUAGGGUAAAAUGCUACUUACAGUAACUAUUGUUGAGAAGAUAGCAUAUCCAAGUAGAAAUUUUACAUUUUCCUUUUCUGUUUCCAAUUCAGUGCUGGGAUCAUUCUUGUAGUCAUAAUAGAGCCACCAGAGAACACCUGAGACAACUGAGCAAACAAGAGCAGGAUGAAGGCGGGCAGCACGCCCCAGGCUGCGGCACACUGCUCUUGGCAGGCUGAUGUCUGCCCAGUCUCCCUCGAGAAUCCCUCGCCCUUCUGCCUAACCCAAGCUCAGCUCAGGAAGACUGUCACAUAGCAGAGAGGCACAGUGUCAACGACCACAGAGAAAAUUCACAUAAUGUUCUGUUAGUCUGAGGUAAAGCCACAGCAGAAUGUUUGGUUUUCUUGCGGUUAUUCUAAAGCUCAGGCACAUAAUUCCAUUGAGGAGAUAGAUACAAAGCUAACUUUUAUGGAAUGACAAGCUUUAGGUGGAGACAUUCCUAUAGCUCUCCCUUUCUAAAGCAGGCAAUGUAGAACUUCACUGAACUUUCUUUGAAAUAGCAGCAUUUUAAUAACUGCAGUGAUCUGCCAAAAGAAAUGUUGUUUCCAGGCAUCUACAAAAAAAAUAAAACUCAUCAUCAUCCCACACUCAACAGCUGGAACAGCACAGCCAGAUCUUGGCACCCAAAGGCAGGCAGGGCUCAGCUUGGAAGUGGAUGCGGUAAGCUUAAGGUCACUGAGGAUGGCCAUAGAGAAAAAGGAAGGAUAGCUGUUUGUUCAGCUGCCUCUCCUUCAGUUCAGUGAGAUGAUCCAUUUAACUAAGCAUAUGCUAAAAGAUAAAUAUACUUACAUAACAACCCAAAUACAACCAGUGCAAUCAAAGUAUGGACCAGAAGUGUCCGAAUGAAUCUGAAGGCUAAAACCAGUAUAAAAGAGAAGGCUGAAAAAUAUACAAAAUCAGUUUAUUAUGAAUGUCACAACACAUUUAACUUAACUCUUUAUGCUUUAAAAAUAAAUGUAAGGUUCUUGAAGAAUUUGGGCUUUCAUUUAUAAACAGUAGUCUCAAAAGCAACACCAUUUAGCAAAGCUAGCAAACUUUUUAACAUUUAAAACACACAGUUACCUAUAACUUACUAAUAAUGAACUUAUAACUGAAAUAUUUCAUCUUGGGAAUUAUUAGCUUUUCAAUAAUAUUUUGUAUAAAAUUUAAGUUAAAAUGUUCACGGUGAUGCCAUUUUUUUCAUAAACAAUUUCUUACAGUCCCCUGAAAUGAGGUAUAUUAUCAUAUCAAAGAACACAGAAUCUGCUAUUUCAUAGACUUGUAUUUCAUCAGCCUACUAAAUGCUUCCUUAUAAAACACAAUCACUCUUUCUUAAAAACAACUCUGCCCAGAAAAUAUGGAAAAGAUCACUGCUAAACUAAAAACAUAAAGUUAAUAAAAACAUUUGAAACCUCA